rnacentral:rRNA from 1 species
UACGUAGGGUGCAAGCGUUAUUCGGAUUUACUGGGCGUAAAGCGUGCGUAGGCGGCUCGCUAAGUCGGUUGUGAAAUCCCUGGGCUUAACCUGGGAACCGCAGUCGAUACUGGCGGACUAGAGUACGGUAGAGGGUGGCGGAACUCCGGGUGUAGCGGUGAAAUGCGUAGAUAUCCGGAAGAACACCGAUGGCGAAGGCAACCACCUGGGCCUGUACUGACGCUGAGGUACGAAAGCGUGGGGAGCAAACAGG